AUACGGAGGAUCCGAGCAUUAUCCGGAUUUAUUGGGUUUAAAGGGUGCGCAGGCGGCCAUUUAAGUCAGCGGUUAAAUCGUGGGGCUCAACCCCAUUCUGCCGUUGAUACUGGGUGGCUUGAUUGCGGUCGAGGUUGGCGGAAUUCGUUGUGUAGCGGUGAAAUGCAUAGAUAUGACGAAGAACACCGAUUGCGUAGGCAGCUGACCAGACCGCAAAUGACGCUCAUGCACGAAAGUGCGGGGAUCGAACAGGAUUAGAUACCCUGGUAGUCCGCACAGUAAACGAUGAAUGCUUGUUUUCGGCGAUAUAAUGUCGGAGGCAAAGCGAAAGCGAUAAGUAUUCCACCUGGGGAGUACGCCGGCAACGGUGAAACUCAAAUGAAUUGGCGGGG
rnacentral:rRNA from 1 species